UUCAAAUAUUAAAGGACUCUGUAGUCAACACCGUUGGUGCCCACGCAGGUCCUCCACCUGGCCAGCACACCCAUUCGAGGCUGCUGAAUCUUGGCUGCUAGGGCUCACAGCUGCAACCUUCUCCAGAGAAUUGCUCUUGGCCAAGUGGGAUCUGCUUCCCGGAGUGAUUGCCUCCCACCCCCAGGUGCAACCCACAGCCAAUAAUUGACCCAAUGCAUGGGUACAAAAAGCUGGCUCUUCUGCCUCAAGGUGGGAUCAAUACUUGGUGGCAAUUUGUGCUCCUGCUUCCACGGUGUGAACAGAGACAGAGACCGUGAGCAGAGACAGGAGCAGACGGACAGAGAGAGAAUCUAAAGCAGACUCCAUGCUCAGCACUGAGCCUCAAGUGGGGCUCAUUCCCAUGACCUGGGAUCAUGACCUGAGCUGAAAUCAAGCUGGACGCACUACCAACUGAGCCACCCAGCACUACAGCAAUGAGUAUUCACCCAGGAGCAACUUGCUUCCAGAGCAAUAUUCCAGUUUGCAGUUUUUCCAAAAUGUACACCAGAAGACUUAUUUCACCACCACAAAGGCAUCAGCCAGUUGGUACCCCCCCCGUUCUCUGGAGGUCUCACUUAUAGCUCUGAGGGCCCCAUCUACAACCUUCUAAAUUGUACUAAUCCCCACUCCUUCCUUUGUUCUUCCAGCCUUUGGGGAUAGUGGCUGCUUCCUUCAGUUUUCCCUCUGAUAUCUCACAUCCUCUUUCUGUGCUCUUGAGUAUGUAGUUAAUAAUUCUUUCUAUUAAAUUCUCUC